rnacentral:rRNA from 1 species
CUGCGAACGGCUCAUUAAAUCAGUUGCGAUCUACUCGGCGUUCCGCGCCGCCGGAUAACCGUAGUAAUUCUAGGGCUAAUACGUGCGAAGCGCCCGAAGCCGCGAGGCGACGGGCGUUCUCGCCGGAUGUAGGAACCGACCCGGGGACCGCCGGGGCAACCCGGCGCCCCCGAGACGGGGCGAACCACGGUGAAAUGACGGAUCGUCGGCCCCGCGCCGGCGACUCGCCGAAUGAGUUUCUGACCUAUCAACUCGAGACGGCGGGGUAGAGGCCCGCCGCGGUAACGACGGGUAACGGGGAAUCAGGGUUCGAUUCCGGAGAGGGAGCCCGAGAAACGGCUACCACUUCCAAGGAAGGCAGCAGGCGCGCAACUUACCCUAAUCUCGAUUCGAGGAGGUAGUGACAAGAAUACCGAUGCGGGACCCUACGGGUGCCGCGUUCGGAAUGAGUACGAUUCGAACCACCUAACGAGGAACGAUCGGAGGGCAAGUCUGGUGCCAGCAGCCGCGG